GGUAUACAUAGAUUAAUUGACAACUUCUGAAAGGUAAUCUGUGAGUACAGUUUUGCAUUUUAGUCAAUCCUUAUUUUAAUCUUCUAUUUUAGUCUCAAAUGGAACCUUACAAAAUAGCGCUUUAUUAAUUGAUUCCAGUGAAUAUGAGGGGAUCUUCCCAACCCAGGGAUGGAAUCCACAUCUCAUGUCUCCUGCAUUAACAAGCAGGUUCUUUACCACUAGUGCCACCUGCGAAGCCCUUGUAUUACAUAAUAUAUUUAUGAUGAUUGAAGUUUACUAUUAAUUGCCAAGAAGGACAUAAAAGAGGUGUGGUGGAAGGGUCUGCCAGAACCAGAGGCUAAGCACACAGCAGUGUAAAACAAAUUCUUUAUUCCAGCUUCCAGAAUGCAUCCUCUUCAGCCUUUCCUGUUCAUUGGACUAAAGCUGUUAAGCAAUGGUGUCAAGAACCGUCAUCCACUGGUUGAAGCUCAGUACAAAACCAGGAAGCAGGCGGGUUUAGAUCCAGUAGGAACAACUUGACUCAGAUCUUCGCACUUUCACUAAGGAGGGUCGGGGGUGAGGAGACAACAUUUACAUUUGUACUGAAGCUGAUCUGAUGUGAUUGUGACAGUUUUCCAGUCAGUAUUUGUUUAUCUUAAUUUAGUCGCGUGUUAAAAAUGUGAGGGUCAAAUUUACUUCCUUUCAAGGCCACUUGGCGUACACGUCUUGUAGUCUUUGGAAGGGAUGGCAAGGAAACAGCCAUGCUUUAAUGAUGGGAUUAGAUGUUGAUGAAAGCUAGGUGUAAUAGUAGAAACAUUUUAUUGUAUAUUUUUAUUCCAAAGUAAGUGCAGUGUUAUUAUAUUUAGAUAAAUGUUCAGUGAUAAGCCAGAAAUCUUACACAUACAUUGCUGAAGACAUUUUCCCUCUGGAUUUAAUAAAAUUCUGGUACACAGAGGUACAAAAUGUAAUUCAUAAAUGUAAUGAAAACCCUAGAAAACGCUUCCCGCAUGCUUUCCUUCCCUCCCCUCCCCUCCUGUCCCUUUCCUCCUCUUCUCCAGCCCACUCUCCAGUCUUGCUUGCCUUCAUUGCUGGGGGAAAAAAAAAAAGAGCAGGUGAGCACAUAAUUAGGUUGUCACUUUUAAACUCUGGAUUAGUGGGACAUCCUGGAAGACCUCCCUCAACUGCAGUGCUGAACAAACGACUUUUUCCACCCCCAUCUGCAUGCUCCUACUACUUUUGACUAGAUGUCUUGAGAAUCUGCCAAUAUUUUUAAUUGAUCAAGUGAAAAAUACACAGGAAGUAUGCCUGUUUUUUAAUUUGUUUGUAUAUUUUCUUGAUGCGUUGCAUAAAGACCCAAAGGUGCUUUGGCUUCUGUCUGUCCUCACUGGAACUGUGGUUACUGUGGGGUGUGUGGUACUCCGUAGCACACCAUAAAUCUCCACUAGAUGUCAGCGUGUCACCAAAUGAAACCAGCACUCUCUCCUGACCUGUUACUGAAACAGCUUUUUAAUCAGAAUGCUACAGACAAGUUUUAGUAUACAGGUUAAUAAAUUAUAUUUGUCAAUGAAUAGUAAUAAAAAUAAAAUCUUUAAAAAAUUUAGUACCUUUCAUCUGAGGAUUUCAAAAUGUUUUACUUAUAUUUUGGUUUUUGCCGUAAGAGCCCCAAAGAGAUAGAGUGCAAAUAUUCAUUUUUCAUUUUACAGUAAAGUAAAGCAAGGGGACAAAAUGAUUGGCUCAAGAUCACAUAGACGAUGUCUGAAUAAAUGCAGGCUGGUAUUUCUGCCAUCACAGAAUCUACUCUACCUGUGUACUUAGAUACAGAUGCCCUUUAUUUAUCAUUUAUAUUAACUGCUUUGCCUUAAAAACAAGCUCAAGAAAAAUGGAAUAAUAGUUAACAAUUAUCGAAGAUUAUUGAUACGAUUAGUAUGGGGGUGUUUCAGAUGUAAUUUUAAGUUUUUAUAAAGACUGCACAAAGAAAAUAUGCUGAACAACCUAGAUGAAAACUUUAGAAAAUCAUAGCAAUAUUUUACCUGUGCUGUUUUACAGAUGGUGAACUCAGACCAGUGUGAGCCUUGUCUUAGCUCAUGUGCUCAAGUGCAGGAGGAAAAGCAAUUAUAAUUGGGUCUGGAAGGUUGAAGCUCUUGGGUAUGAUGGGAUUAAUGGACAUAACUGCAUAUUGUAGGUUUUUCACUGUAUAAUUUUCUUUAAGAGGAAUAUACAUAAAAUCCUGUAUAUUAAGACUUAAGUGAUUUUCUCAAAAUUGUAUAAAUACAUAAGUUACAACUGUAAAAGUUAUGUUUGUGGAUAAAGAUUAAAAAUACAUAAAUGGCAAGUUAGGGUGAUGUGACUAUGGGUAAAUUCAAUUUUCUCUUUAUGUGGUAAUAUUGUUUCUACAAUAAAUAAAAAGAGAAAACGGUUUUUAUUGUAAAAAUUCACCACAGUCCCCACUUUAGAUAGGCUUAUUUCCUAUCAGUAGAGGUGCAUUGUAUACAGCUGAAAUUCAAAAGGUAUAGUUGAGUUUAUUUCCUUCAAAUGUUUUAAUCAUAGAAACCAGGGUUAAACCGGCAGAAGUACAUAUUUUCGAACUUUACUGUGUAUUUUAGGUGAAAUAAAUGAUUGCCCAUUCCAGCAGGCUGUUUGCUGCAGUGUUCAGUGCAUUGCCAGUAUUCAUACUGAUGAAAAAGUGUUUAAUAAAUGUAGC
ensembl:lncRNA